UACGUAGGGCGCAAGCGUUGUCCGGAAUUAUUGGGCGUAAAGAGCUCGUAGGCGGCCGUUCGCGUCGGAUGUGAAAGCUCAGGGCUCAACCCUGAGACGCCAUUCGAUACGGGACGGCUAGAGGUAGGUAGGGGAAAGUGGAAUUCCUGGUGUAGCGGUGAAAUGCGCAGAUAUCGGGAGGAACACCGGUGGCGAAGGCGGCGACCUGGGUAGAUACUGACGCUGAGGCGCGAAAGCGUGGGGAGCAAACAGG
rnacentral:rRNA from 1 species